UACAGAGGUCCCAAGCGUUGUUCGGAUUCACUGGGCGUAAAGGGUGCGUAGGUGGUGGGGUAAGUCGGAUGUGAAAUCUCCGGGCUCAACCCGGAAAUGGCAUUGGAAACUACCUUGCUUGAGGAUUUGAGGGGGGAUUGGAAUACUUGGUGUAGCAGUGAAAUGCGUAGAUAUCGGGAGGAACACCAGUGGCGAAGGCGACUACCUGGCCUGUUUCUUGACGCUGAGGCGCGAAAGCUAGGGGAGCAAACGGG
rnacentral:rRNA from 1 species